AAGGAGUGGUUCUUCUGAGGAAAACCAGCUGAAGUAUUACAGAAAGAGGAAAUGCUGCAGAGACCCAGCCGGAAACAGUGCUGGCCAGCUCACGCCUGACCCACCCUUAUUCUAAGCAUAGGGUCUGCCUCUGAAGAGCUAAAGACUUCCUGAAAUUUAAAAAUUAGUGCUUUUAUUUGCUUGUCCUGCUAAGACCGUAGGCAAAGGCCAUCCUCCUCCCAUUGACAGUUUAGAGUGGGCAGAAACAACCACGGUUACCCUAGAAGUAAAUCCAGAGCUGCGGGACGCUGGAGGACAAAACCAACCUUCCAGGGAAGCCGAGGAGAAGUCAUGCCUUCAAAAGGGGCUGGGAAGUUCAAGAUCCAGGCCUCAGAAGAUUUGGGGUUUGGUGAGGGCCAUCUUCUCACUGUAGCCUUACAUGGUGGAAGAGGUAAGGCAGCUCUCUGGAACCUCUUUUAUAAGGGCACUAAUCCCUUUCAUGAGAACUCAGCCCUUAUGAACUCAUCGCCUCCUAAAUUCUCUACCUCCUAACACCAUCACUUUGACAAUCAGAUUUCAACAUAUGAAUUUGUGGGAGUCACCAGCAUUGAGACUAUAGCAACCCCUUAUUAGAAAUAAUUCAUGAGGAACUGAAACUGUUAGGAAACCACUGUGUAAAUGCUGGGAAACAAAGUCAGAUAAAUAAUGCUGAUAAUUACCUGACUGCUUUUGGAACUGUCCUUUUUUGUGAACAUGAGACUACAUCAUUGUCAGUUGAUUGCAGAAGAACCACUAUGAUAUUAUAAUGGGGUCCUGACUCCAUGACUGUGUAAUUCAUGGCUUUCUAACGGUUUAUUAUUGACCUAACUUUGCAGCUCCCCUAGAUCCCCUAACUCCACCAUCUUGGGUUGCAACCAAUGACCUGUUAUUGCAAAACAGGUAAUCUCACUUAGAUAAGUAUUAAUCAGAGGGGCUUGACUUCCAGAGUUCAUUUCAAUGGUUUUCAACUCAUUUGUAGAGUUUAACAUCAGUAGCCCUUUCUCUUCCAUAGGAGGGAGAUGAACCAUCCUGUUUGUUCAAUAAUCAGUGAGAGCGUGGCUUUAACGUCUCUUCCACUCCUUUCUAGUUCAGGUCUUUCUUAACUUGAUGGAGAUAGCUUGGGCCAGGGAGGGCAGAGUGAAGAUGAGAUGGCAAAAAAAAAAAAGUUUUGAUCAGCAGCAUUGACUCUGUGCUAAAUACUGUGCUCAGCUCUUUGGAUGUUAUUUCAUUGAAAUGGAAAGAACACUGUAAAGUUGUCUUGUGAGGCACACUUUCCUGUUGAGGAAAUAAAAGCAUUAAAUAACUUGCCCCCAAAUACAAAGCUAUUAGGAUUGAAACAAAGACUUGAGCCCGGGAUCUAUCUAAUUUCAAGGUCCUUGUUUUUUUUCUACUACAUUUCUCUUUGAGAUACAGUUACUCAAAGGUGUCCAAACUUCAGUUAAUGUCAACCUCUGCCUCACUCUGGUCCUGGUGCCUUUCCCAUGUUCCUGAGAAGAUCAUGUGGCACACUUCUCUAAACGUCUCUGUGCCAUAUCUCUUGGGAUCAAAAGGCCAUUCCAAUAAUUCUUCUGCAUUUCUUAAUGUAUGCUCAGAUGGCCCUGGUUUGCAUUUAGAGAAAGGAAGCUAAGACCUUGGUGAUAACUAAAUAUUUAUAUCUAUUUUUUGAUUAUGUGCUUGUAUUUAAUUAAGUGGGUGCCUACUGUUGUGAAAAUACUUUUGAAUACAAUUCUGAAGUUGUGCCAGGGAACUCUGACAAUGGGUAUGCUGGGAGCUGUCUGAUUUCCUUGUCCUAGACAACUCAUACAAUGCAGUAGAAAAAGAAUUCUUUAUUCCCACUGCCUUUCCUUAGCCCUUCUUCAGAGCAGGGGAAGUGUGACUGUAGCUUUAAAUAGUUUAAAUAGUCCUUCAAAUACGGCAAAUAAAACAGUAUCAAUGAAAAAGAAGAUAAAAUGAGUGGAUUACUCAUAUGAGUUUCAGUUUUAUCAUUCAGUUUCACAGAACUCCAAAGAAUAAUGUGAUUAAGUGGUUUCUUUUUGCAAGGAUUUUCCAGGUGAAAGAUCUGAGCUAUAUAUUGAGGAACCAUAGGAUUAAAAUAGACAUGGGUUUGCUUCUAUGACAGCAUUUUGCAAAAUAACAUGACCAGGUACUAUUGCUCAUGCCUGUCACCCCAGCACCGUGGUCAAGGCAAGUAGAUCACUUGAGGCCAGGAAUUCAAGACCAGCCUGGCUAACAUGGCAAAACCUCAUCUCUAUUAAAAAUACAAAACUUAGCCAGAUCUGGUGGCACAUGCCUGUAAUCCCAGCUACUCAGGAGGCUGAGGCAUGAGAAUCACUUGAGCCUGGCAGGCAGAGGUUGCAGUGAGCCGAGAUUGUGCCACUGUGCUCCAGCCUGGGUGAUAGAGUGAGACCCUGUCUCAAAACAAACAAACAAAGCAAACAAAAACACACACACAAAAAAACCCACCUCUGAUGUGACCCAUGGAUAGAAAACAACAAAUUAAGUUUUAAUGAGACUAUAUAUGCUUGUACUUUAAAAUGGGGCUAAUUCAUAGAUAUAGAAAACUAUACUUAUGACAGUUCAUAUAAAUGAGCCACUGGACUGUCCAAAUUUACCUCUUUUUAUUGUAUGGAC
rnacentral:lncRNA from 1 species